AUCAGGGCAGAGCAAGCAGCAUAAGCAUCAACAUAUUUGCUUCAGUUAUCCCAAUCCUAACUCCCACAGAGUGAUGGAUGGAGACCAGGGGACAUCUAUACAUUCAGCUGGGUGCAUUCAAGACAGGAACCUGUAACAUUACAAUUCUUCAAUGAUAACAUCUGCCAGUGAGAGCUUACUAUGUACCAGGUGAUAGUCUAAGAAUUUUAUUUAUUUAUUUAUUUAUUUAU